rnacentral:rRNA from 1 species
UACGGGGGGGGCAAGCGUUUGUUCGGAAUUACUGGCGUAAAGGGCUCGUAGGUGGCCAACUAAGUCAGACGUGAAAAUCCCCCAGGCUCAACUUGGAACUGCGUCUGAUACUGGAUGGCUUGAAUUGGGAGAGGGGAUGCAGAAUUCCAAGGUGUAGCGGUGAAAUGCGUAGAUAUCUGGAGGAAUACCGGUGGCGAAGGCGGCAUCCUGGACCGGUAUUGACGCUGAGGCGGCGAAAGCCAGGGGAGCAAACGGGG